AUCCUUCUUUCUCAGCCUCCUGAGUAGCUGGGACUACAGAUAGUAACCGAAGAAAGAAAAACAUUGUCAAGAGGAGAUGCAGAUAAGGGACAAACCAUAUAUUAAUUGCUGCCAACUCAAUGAACUGGCAGUGGAGGCCAACUUGGGAGAAAAGCUGUGACCAUAAAUGUUAAAGAAGACAAAAGAAUCCUUUGUGACAUGAGACUUUCUGCGAUACUACAGUAGAAGAAAUGCCAGUGUACUUUGCUGGCCUUACUUAAUUCCUGGGAUGAGAUUGUUUUGAGUGCAGUGCUCACGGAUGCUGAAUAGGCAAUCCCAGUGUGCACUGUGCUGCUUUCUUGGGGGAAUAUUUGAAUCUCGUCUGAAUGCUCAAAACAGAGCAGAAAUGCAGAUUUUGAUAGCCAAGCAAUUUUAGUUAUGAACUCUUGUGAGGAAGGUCAUUGGCUUUAUCCUCUUCAGCGUUAGAUCCUUAUGGUUGGAUAUGAAAGGUGGUGUCUGUAAAAAUCUUUCUUAGAAAUGUAUUUCCUAAUUCUGUAAAAAUGAAUAUACUGAGUAAUAAUAUACUUGCUAUAUUACUAAGUGAACUUAAAGCUAUGUGCUGUAUAAAAUCAGACAAUAAUGUUAAACUAAUAUAUCUCUGUUUAUUAUGUUAGUCAUUAGUCUGUAUAGAACAAACUUUUCCAUAACUUUUUAAAAUUUGAAUUUGUUUUGCUUGGUAUCAUAUUUUUAUUCAGAAAAGCAUUUUAUUAGCACUAGGUGUGACCUAGAGCCUUCUGCUAAACACCAGCACAAUCAUGUCCAAGGGUUAAAUCCCAGAAAAACGGCUAUAUGGUAUAUUAAAUAUUCAAUAAAUUACAAUAAAGUAUAUUUUUCUUUAAAA